AAAUGGAGAAAAGGUUGGAAUGGUGGUGGGAUCUGGAUAAUAGAGAUGAGUAGGGUUUGAAAAGGUCAUGAUGUUCAAGAAUGAAAGCACCAAUUGAUAGAGUGUUGAAGCUCUAUCAAACUAUAACUAAGCUAAACCUAGAAAAGCAAUAAAGAAAUGCAAAUAAAUAAAGAUAAAUAAAAGACUUCAUUUUCAUUCAUUCAUUCCAAAUUGAUAAGAACACUACAUAUAUAUAAGACUCUUAAUGGGCCUAGAGGAUAAAGUCCAACCAAACAAAACCCAAUAGCAUAGAUGACCAACUAAUAAUAUAAAUAAUAUGUCUCAUUAAUAUCUAAAUUAUUUAAGUAACUACUACUUAUAAUUAUUUAACUAAUUACUCCCUAAUCUUCUAUCA
rnacentral:lncRNA from 1 species